CCUACGGGAGGCAGCAGUGAGGAAUAUUGGUCAAUGGACGAGAGUCUGAACCAGCCAAGUAGCGUGAAGGAUGACUGCCCUAUGGGUUGUAAACUUCUUUUAUAAAGGAAUAAAACGAGGCACGUGUGCCUUUUUGCAUGUACUUUAUGAAUAAGGAUCGGCUAACUCCGUGCCAGCAGCCGCGGUAAUACGGAGGAUCCGAGCGUUAUCCGGAUUUAUUGGGUUUAAAGGGAGCGUAGAUGGGUUGUUAAGUCAGUUGUGAAAGUUUGCGGCUCAACCGUAAAAUUGCAAUUGAUACUGGCAGUCGUGAGUACAGUUGAGGUAGGCGGAAUUCGUGGUGUAGCGGUGAAAUGCUUAGAUAUCACGAAGAACCCCGAUUGCGAAGGCAGCUUACUAAACUGUGACUGACAUUGAUGCUCGAAAGUGUGGGUAUCAAACAGGAUUAGAUACCCGAGUAGUG
rnacentral:rRNA from 1 species